CCAGGUAAAAGAAUUUCUACACCCUAAUGUUUUCAACUCAAAGGUUUGAAGAAUCUCCAGUGAAUCAAUCUAUAUGCUAGAUGUUUGGUAGUUUCAAAUAACAAGCAUUGGAGUCUACAGAGAGUUCGAAUAUCUUGAGGUUUAUGUUUUCAAACUGUUUCUUCACAAGUAUUGGAGUAUCAACCUGAAAUACAAAAGAUUAAGGCUUAAAUUCUUAGUAAUUAACCUAAAAGAGCAAUAAGAUUGCAGUAAAUAAAUCUUCCAAUGUAGAUCUCUUAAAGUUUCCGAGCAUAAUUUUAUAAGCCUGGCAAUCUUUUUCAUGUUAGUUGUGUACACUUUCAUUUUUAUAAGCCUGGCAAUCUCUUUCAUGUUAGUUGUGUACACUUCCAUUUUUAUUGGUCACGUGAUUCCUCUCUUUUUAUUUCUUUUAUUUUUUUCUGGGGAGCAUGGUCGGCAGAGUGGUUAUUGAGUUCUGUGAUGGUGGACCUCUGGUAAGAAGUUACUCCUUCCGUUUCAAUUUAUUUCUCUUAUUUUUCUCUUUACUCCGUUCUAAAAAAGUAUGCCUCUAUCCUUUUUUCGAUAGCUCUUUAAUUCCAAAUUUUCACAUAAUAUGUUUA
rnacentral:lncRNA from 1 species